UGAGGAAUAUUGGUCAAUGGGUGCAAGCCUGAACCAGCCAUCCCGCGUGAAGGACGACUGCCCUAUGGGUUGUAAACUUCUUUUGUAUAGGGAUAAACCUACCCUCGUGAGGGUAGCUGAAGGUACUAUACGAAUAAGCACCGGCUAACUCCGUGCCAGCAGCCGCGGUAAUACGGAGGGUGCAAACGUUAUCCGGAUUUAUUGGGUUUAAAGGGUCCGUAGGCGGGAUUAUAAGUCAGUGGUGAAAGCCUGUCGCUUAACGAUAGGACCGCCAUUUAUAAUGUUAGGCUUGAGUAUAAUUGAGGGUGCUGGAAUAAGUAGUGUAGCGGUGGAAUGCAUAGAUAUUACUUUGAACACCAAUUUCGAAGGCAGGUUACCAAGAUAUAACUGAAGCUGAGGGACCAAAGCGUGGGGAGCGAACA
rnacentral:rRNA from 1 species